rnacentral:rRNA from 1 species
UGUUUCGGCAAGGGGGUCAUCCCGACUUACCAACCCGAUGCAAACUGCGAAUACCGGAGAAUGUUAUCACGGGAGACACACGGCGGGUGCUAACGUCCGUCGUGAAGAGGGAAACAACCCAGACCGCCAGCUAAGGUCCCAAAGUCAUGGUUAAGUGGGAAACGAUGUGGGAAGGCCCAGACAGCCAGGAUGUUGGCUUAGAAGCAGCCAUCAUUUAAAGAAAGCGUAAUAGCUCACUGGUCGAGUCGGCCUGCGCGGAAGAUGUAACGGGGCUAAACCAUGCACCGAAGCUGCGGCAGCGACGCUUAUGCGUUGUUGGGUAGGGGAGCGUUCUGUAAGCCUGUGAAGGUGUGCUGUGAGGCAUGCUGGAGGUAUCAGAAGUGCGAAUGCUGACAUAAGUAACGAUAAAGCGGGUGAAAAGCCCGCUCGCCGGAAGACCAAGGGUUCCUGUCCAACGUUAAUCGGGGCAGGGUGAGUCGACCCCUAAGGCGAGGCCGAAAGGCGUAGUCGAUGGGAAACAGGUUAAUAUUCCUGUACUUGGUGUUACUGCGAAGGGGGGACGGAGAAGGCUAUGUUGGCCGGGCGACGGUUGUCCCGGUUUAAGCGUGUAGGCUGGUUUUCCAGGCAAAUCCGGAAAAUCAAGGCUGAGGCGUGAUGACGAGGCACUACGGUGCUGAAGCAACAAAUGCCCUGCUUCCAGGAAAAGCCUCUAAGCAUCAGGUAACAUCAAAUCGUACCCCAAACCGACACAGGUGGUCAGGUAGAGAAUACCAAGGCGCUUGAGAGAACUCGGGUGAAGGAACUAGGCAAAAUGGUGCCGUAACUUCGGGAGAAGGCACGCUGAUAUGUAGGUGAAGUCCCUUGCGGAUGGAGCUGAAAUCAGUCGAAGAUACCAGCUGGCUGCAACUGUUUAUUAAAAACACAGCACUGUGCAAACACGAAAGUGGACGUAUACGGUGUGACGCCUGCCCGGUGCCGGAAGGUUAAUUGAUGGGGUCAGCGCAAGCGAAGCUCUUGAUCGAAGCCCCGGUAAACGGCGGCCGUAACUAUAACGGUCCUAAGGUAGCGAAAUUCCUUGUCGGGUAAGUUCCGACCUGCACGAAUGGCGUAAUGAUGGCCAGGCUGUCUCCACCCGAGACUCAGUGAAAUUGAACUCGCUGUGAAGAUGCAGUGUACCCGCGGCAAGACGGAAAGACCCCGUGAACCUUUACUAUAGCUUGACACUGAACAUUGAGCCUUGAUGUGUAGGAUAGGUGGGAGGCUUUGAAGUGUGGACGCCAGUCUGCAUGGAGCCGACCUUGAAAUACCACCCUUUAAUGUUUGAUGUUCUAACGUUGACCCGUAAUCCGGGUUGCGGACAGUGUCUGGUGGGUAGUUUGACUGGGGCGGUCUCCUCCUAAAGAGUAACGGAGGAGCACGAAGGUUGGCUAAUCCUGGUCGGACAUCAGGAGGUUAGUGCAAUGGCAUAAGCCAGCUUGACUGCGAGCGUGACGGCGCGAGCAGGUGCGAAAGCAGGUCAUAGUGAUCCGGUGGUUCUGAAUGGAAGGGCCAUCGCUCAACGGAUAAAAGGUACUCCGGGGAUAACAGGCUGAUACCGCCCAAGAGUUCAUAUCGACGGCGGUGUUUGGCACCUCGAUGUCGGCUCAUCACAUCCUGGGGCUGAAGUAGGUCCCAAGGGUAUGGCUGUUCGCCAUUUAAAGUGGUACGCGAGCUGGGUUUAGAACGUCGUGAGACAGUUCGGUCCCUAUCUGCCGUGGGCGCUGGAGAACUGAGGGGGGCUGCUCCUAGUACGAGAGGACCGGAGUGGACGCAUCACUGGUGUUCGGGUUGUCAUGCCAAUGGCACUGCCCGGUAGCUAAAUGCGGAAGAGAUAAGUGCUGAAAGCAUCUAAGCACGAAACUUGCC